rnacentral:misc_RNA from 1 species
GGAGAUUCUGCUCUAGUUAGCUCCAUGCCUAGUGGAUCUUUAGUUGGCAAAGAUGAUAUGAAGUUGGUACAGUACAGCCUGCAGAAUAUAAGAGAUGCAACAAACAACUUCCAUGAAGAAAACAAACUCGGAGAAGGUGGUUUUGGCCCCGUGUUUAAGGGGUCUUUGCCUGAAUUCGGAGAUGUAGCCAUCAAAAGGCUAAGCAGGAAGUCAUCACAAGGACUAGAGGAGUUCAUGAAUGAAUUGAAGCUAAUCGCAAACUUGCAGCACAAAAAUCUAGUCAGCCUCUUAGGAUGUUGCGUUGAAGGGGAGGAGAAGAUACUGAUCUAUGAAUAUAUGCCCAAUUGCAGCCUGGACAAAUUUCUUUCUGGUUAUACUCAUUAGUAUUAUUUUCACGAGAACUAUAACUUUGUUUUCCUCAUUUCUGUUGGCUAAUUUGAUAUUCAUUUUUC